UUGAACGCUGGCGGCAGGCCUAACACAUGCAAGUCGAACGGUAACAGGAAGAAGCUUGCUUCUUUGCUGACGAGUGGCGGACGGGUGAGUAAUGUCUGGGAAACUGCCUGAUGGAGGGGGAUAACUACUGGAAACGGUAGCUAAUACCGCAUAACGUCGCAAGACCAAAAAGGGGGACCUUCGGGCCUCUUGCCAUCGGAUGUGCCCAGAUGGGAUUAGCUAGUAGGUGGGGUAACGACUCACCUAGGCGACGAUCCCUAGCUGGUCUGAGAGGAUGACCAGCCACACUGGAACUGAGACACGGUCCAGACUCCUACGGGAGGCAGCAGUGGGGAAUAUUGCACAAUGGGCGCAAGCCUGAUGCAGCCAUGCCGCGUGUAUGAAGAAGGCCUUCGGGUUGUAAAGUACUUUCAGCGGGGAGGAAGGGAGUAAAGUUAAUACCUUUGCUCAUUGACGUUACCCGCAGAAGAAGCACCGGCUAACUCCGUG
rnacentral:rRNA from 1 species